rnacentral:rRNA from 1 species
GCAUGCUAGUUGCACGAAUUUAGAUUCGUAGCGGAAAGCUCAGUAACACGUGGCCAAACUACCCUAUAGACCAGCAUAACCUCGGGAAACUGAGGCUAAUACUGGAUAAUGCUCCCAGGUUUGAACACCGGGAGCUGGAAACGCUCCGGCGCUAUAGGAUGUGGCUGCGGCCGAUUAGGUAGACGGUGGGGUAAUGGCCCACCGUGCCGAUAAUCGGUACGGGUUGUGAGAGCAAGAGCCCGGAGAUGGAUCCUGAGACAAGAAUCCAGGCCCUACGGGGCGCAGCAGGCGCGAAAACUUUACACUGCACGACAGUGCGAUAAGGGAACUCCAAGUGCGAGGGCAUAUAGUCCUCGCUUUUGUGUAUCGUAAGGUGGUACACGAAUAAGAGCUGGGCAAGACCGGUGCCAGCCGCCGCGGUAAUACCGGCAGCUCAAGUGAUGGCCAAUAUUAUUGGGCCUAAAGCGUCCGUAGCCGGCCGAACAGGUCCGUCGGGAAAUCUGCUCGCUCAACGAGCAGGCGUCCGACGGAAACCAGUUGGCUUGGGACCGGAAGACCCGAGGGGUACGUCUAGGGUAGGAGUGAAAUCCUGUAAUCCUAGACGGACCGCCGGUGGCGAAAGCGCCUCGGGAGAACGGAUCCGACGGUGAGGGACGAAAGCUAGGGUCACGAACCGGAUUAGAUACCCGGGUAGUCCUAGCUGUAAACGAUGCUCGCUAGGUGUGGCACAGGCUACGAGCCUGUGCUGUGCCGUAGGGAAGCCGAGAAGCGAGCCGCCUGGGAAGUACGUCCGCAAGGAUGAAACUUAA